rnacentral:rRNA from 1 species
UGCGAUGUCAUCGGCGAGGAAACCCGCUGAACUUAAGCAUAUCAAUAAGCGG